AGUUGGGGGCGUGGUUUCCGGCCGGAAGUUGGAGGUAACACCGGUCCCGCCCCCUUCCUUCCGUCAUGGCCGCAGUGUACGACGUGCUGACGGGCGCCACCGUGCGGAGGUUGGCUCAUCCCGGCGGCUGCGUCCGCGAUGUCUGCUGGCAUCCGGCCGGGGGGCGGCUCGUCAGCGCCUCGUGGGACGGCACCGUCCGCCUUUGGGAUUUUGGAGCGGAAGCCGAGUCGCCGGAUGAUGACGUCACGGAAAGGCGCGGAGGCGGCCAGAGGGGCGGCGCGGGAUGAUGACGUCACCGAACGGGGGGAGGGGGGGAAGGGGUUUCAAAACAGCUGUGGCCAAUAAACGGCGCCGGGAGCGGCGCGCUCUGAUGA